GGAGAAAACGUCCUUAAUCACCACAAUCCAUGUGUAAUUAAUCCAAACAAAGAUAGGAAAUUGGAACUUACAACACAUAAACUUCCUCCUGCGUCCAGGACCCGAUGAACAGAACUAGCAAUUUCUUUUUUUUCUUUUUUUUUUCUCUUUGUAUUUUAACAAACACAAUCCUUUAAAGCCACAGAAUGUGAAGCUAUUUUAAGACAACUCAUGCAAAUUUUCACUAGUAACGAUUCUUUCUCCAUUUGCAUGUAGAUUUUACAACACGUUAAUUAUCUUCUUUUUUUUCUGUUCACAAUCUAAAAGGGUCAAUAAAUGUAAUAUGCAGACAGUAAGAGAAAAAAAAAACCCACGCCUGAAGAAGAAUUUUUGCAUCUGCAAUCUUGAUCAGCUUGAAUUCCCCAAAUCAAUGGACUUCUUGGUACAAGAACUGGAAACUAAAAUCAAACAAUAUAAUUCCCCAUCCAUCAAAACCAAAACAAAUCACUAGUAAAACUAAAAUUUAGCAAAAUUCGACGUUUCUGAAGCUUUCCUUUUCUUCUUCAACAACAUUGUUUAGGAGAUAACUUCUUGUCAUUAGAGAGGAGCAGAUCAAAUCGUAGGUUCUAUGUGUAAGCGAUCCCGCUGGCCAAAAAUUGUAAUUAUAUUAUAUACAUAUAUAUAAAUAAAAGAGCUUCAACAACAAAAAGAAAAAGAGAAAAACAGAGGCUUUUUCCAAGAAGAAGAGAAGGAACAGAGGAAACAGGGGAAACAAAACUCAAGAAGUACAAUGUUUCUCCAAUUGCAUGUAGAUUGUACAAUGUUUUGAGUACACCUUCUGCCAAAUUCAACAAGUAGUAGUCACGUUAAUUUUUUUUUUUUGUUCACAAUCUAAAAGGGUCAAUUAAUGAAAUGCAAACAGUAGACAUAAAACCCACCAUUCAAGAAGAAUUCUGGCAUCAAUACUUCUUGGUACAAGAACUUGAAACUAAAAUCGAAUAAUACAAUUCCCUAUCAAUCAAAACCAAAAUAAAUCACCAUUUAACAAAAAUUCGACAUUUUUGAAGCUUUUUUCUUUAACGACAUUGUGUCAGGAAAUAACUUCUUGUUAUUAGAGACAAGAAGAACAAAUUGUAGGUUCUAUGUGUAACUGAUCCCGCUGGCAAAUACUGCAAUUUAUAUAUAUAAAGAAGAAGAGCUUCGACAGCAAAAGAGAGAGAGAACAGAGGUUUUUUCUCAAGAAGAAUAAACGAAACAGAGAAAACAGGAAAGAAUAA
rnacentral:lncRNA from 1 species